rnacentral:tRNA from 1 species
GCUGGGGCUUUAGCUCAGUGGUAGAGCACUUGCCUUGCAUGUGUGAGGCACUGGGUUCAAUUCUCAGCACAACA